UUGUUGGUAAGGUAAAGGCUUACCAAGGCUUCGAUCAGUAGCUGGUCUGAGAGGACGGCCAGCCACACUGGGACUGAGACACGGCCCAGACUCCUACGGGAGGCAGCAGUGGGGAAUUUUGGACAAUGGGGGAAACCCUGAUCCAGCCAUGCCGCGUGAGUGAAGAAGGCRUUCGUUGUAAAGCUCUUUCAGCCGGAACGAAACGGUUACGGAUAAUACCCGUGACUACUGACGGUACCGGAAGAAGAAGCACCGGCUAACUACGUGCCAGCAGCCGCGGUAAUACGUAGGGUGCGAGCGUUAAUCGGAAUUACUGGGCGUAAAGCGUGCGCAGGUGGUUUUGUAAGUCAGAUGUGAAAGCCCCGGGCUCAACCUGGGAACUGCGUUUGAAACUACAAGACUAGAGUGUGGCAGAGGGGGGUGGAAUUCCGCGUGUAGCAGUGAAAUGCGUAGAGAUGUGGAGGAACACCGAUGGCGAAGGCAGCCCCCUGGGUUAACACUGACACUCAGGCACGAAAGCAUGGGGAGCAAACAGGAUUAGAUACCCUGGUAGUCCAUGCCCUAAACGAUGUCAACUAGUUGUCGGGCCUUUACGGGCUUGGUAACGUAGCUAACGCGUGAAGUUGACCGCCUGGGGAGUACGAUCGCAAGAUUAAAACUCAAAUGAAUUGACGGGGACCCGCACAAGCGGUGGAUUAUGUGGAUUAAUUCGAUGCAACGCGAAAAACCUUACCUACCCUUGACAUGUAUCGAAGCCCGCAGAAAAGCGGGGGUGCCCGAAAGGGAACGAUAACACAGGUGCUGCAUGGCUGUCGUCAGCUCGUGUCGUGAGAUGUUGGGUUAAGUCCCGCAACGAGCGCAACCCUUGUCAUUAAUUGCCAUCAUUUAGUUGGGCACUUUAAUGAGACUGCCGG
rnacentral:rRNA from 1 species